GGUGGUCACAUCAGUGCCACCCAAAACCUUCAGUCACAUCAGUCUUGAUCUGACGCUUACAAAACAUCACUGAGAAAGCAACUGGAAAUGACCUACUAGGUUACUCACUUUGUAAAGCUACGAUCAGUGAGAGGCAGGAUUUAUGAUCUACAAUAAACUUCCAUGGAGCAAGGAAACGAGGACGCAGAAGACCACUCGAUGACGUAAACAUCAGGACACAUGAUAGUGAUGACGUCGCCGCCAUAAAGGGUGCAUGUCUUUGGAGGUGGGAAGAAGCCGGAGUACCUGGAGGGAACCCAUAGAUUCACAGGGAGGACAAGCAAACUCCACACAGAAAGAUUCCGAGCCCGGGAUUGAACCCUACCUACUCAGGACCUUCAUAUUGUGAGGCAGACAAACUAACCCCUCUCCUACCGUGAAGCCAUCCAUCCUUUUUCUACCGCUUAUCCCUUUGCCAUAUAUUUACAGCAUGUAUGUAAAACUUUAAUGAAUGUGUUUGGAUGUUUUAAGGGCUUUGUAGGCAGAAUAGAGCGAUUCAAAUAGGCUCCAUUGUAAGCGGACUUUUGAUAGUAUUUAUUUACUAUUUAGAAUGUAUUACAAAAAAGAAUACAUACGUGUUCUUUUCUUACAUAAGGAUUGCGAAUGAUAGGCAGAAUUUCAAAAGAAGCGCUUUGACUGAAUCUUCUGAACCCGUUCCAUUGCCAGUGUUAUAUGAAACAGAAUGCUGUUUGGAAAGCAUGAAUGUACCAGUUGCUCAACUUUCCAUAACUGAUGCCAUGUAGUCCUUCAGACUGACAAGAGAUACAAAAUGAAUCACAUUUUAAUCACAAUGAAGAUUUGGGCUGCCACGAUUGAAUGAAGGUGAUAGUCUGCUGUAUAUUAGAUCACAGCCUACGGCAGAAGGAAAGCAAUAGUGGCUCAUCUUUAAGCCUUGUGAAGCAACUCUUACUCAAGCCAGAGGACUUUCUGAAUGGGUACAGAGCUUAAUGACCACGUCGACAAUAAUGAACUUAACCCAGGCCGCUAAAGCCGGUCGCCUUGUUUCACGGCCCAGACUUCUGUGGCGUCUAGCUUGGCGUGUAUCAAAGAACGCACUGCUGUCAGACAGCAACAGGUGUUGACGUUUGCACAACACACUGCUCUGUUUGUCUACUUGGGGUUGCACUACCAGGACCAACAGCUAACCAUUGUGUAAAAGAGUUUGGAGACACUUUUCGUUCAGGUGCCAAUAUUUCUCGCCGGACCAAAAAAACUGGGUCAUGCGGGGGUGCCCAGUUGAUGAAGCAGAGGCCACUUGCAGAACAUGCCUUUUUUAUGGCCAGGAAAAACUAAAGCAAAACAAAACAGCCAAACUUAAAUAGAGCCAAGUCUUUAUGUACUGUUAUCUAGUUUGCAUAUUCAUGUCACAGAUUUCAUGUAUAUCUAUAUGUUACCCUCUAUCCAUUACAUCUAGUUUGUAGAAUUCUAAAUAUUUUACUCAAACGAUUUAUUCUAUAUAUACAUAUUUAAAUACUGUA